GGAUUCCUGGCAGAGUGA
rnacentral:miRNA from 1 species